rnacentral:ncRNA from 12 species
GUAGCAUGUGCUGUGGUUGAAAGUCGAUGUCAGUCGCAGACGAAGCGAUCCACGUAAGGAGCCAAAAUGGCUCUGAUCAUAGUGCGGCCUAGAAGUAAGACCUGCCGCAAAAAGCGAGAGGGCUAGUAGUGGGGGAUGCAGAUCAUCUAUGAGCGAACGUCCCAGCAGGCGAGUGUGGGGGUAAAAACCAGGUCAGGCAUGUUGC